GAGAUAUUUCUCUGUACUAUACUGGCAGGUUAGGCACCAUCCUUCAUUUUGUUUCUGGAGGUGAUGCUGGUUCCCCAUCCUCUGCUGAUGUGAGAGCUGUGGGGCUGCCCAGGGCUGAGGAGCCUUGAUGUGCUGCUGGCAGAUUUAUGCCUUGUUGAAACCCACCUCUUAUUGCCUCUGAGUUGAUUGGGGGGAAAGGAAACUUGCUCGCUGGAAAAAGAAACCCACUGCAAUGAGCCAUGCAUGCCAAGUCAGGGUGGGAGCUUCCAAGAAGAAUUUGGAGCCCUGACCUCUUUUCCUCAUCUGCUGCUUAUCUUCUGUCACUGUGUCAGCUGGGACAGCCACGCAGGUGCCCCUUUCUAUCACGGAGAUAAAAGCUGUGACACAGCCUGGCAGAGCCCAGGAGCUGCUCCCAACCUCUCAUCCCAUCCUCGUGCCCUCCAUCAGAAAACUGAACUGGCAGAGCUAAUGGCUCUGGAAGUGCCUUGGGACAGUAUAUGUAAGAGCAGAAAAGGCUUAGGAAAUAUGCAGCAAGUUCAUUUAGGCUCCUUUCAUGCUUCUCAAAUCUUGAAGCUCCUUUAUUGCUGCUUUAUGUCAAUUUGACACUGCUUGAUUUCACCGUCGCUCUUGAUUUUACUGUGAUGGCACUGCAGCAUUUGGUCCCACACCGAUCCCAUCUGCAGCGUCUCACGUAAUCUGCGUGGGGUUUCGGGCGAUUGAAUUAAAGCUGCUACAUUCAGAUGGCCCUACUGGGGAGAGUAGGAAGCUCAGGCUGGGCUGACGUUACCUAUGUGCGGAACCACAGGCGUAGUGUCGUGCCAGUGAGGAGAUGCUGUGAUUAGUCAUGAGUGUGGUGUGUUUCCUUCUGGAAAAUUGCCACUGGAGAGUGAGCAUAGCCUGGGCUGCUUAAGCUUCUACGCAUUAACUAAUCAAUGCAUCUCGAGCUGGAAGGAUCCCUUCCAUCAGAGAGCGAGAGGAACUUUUCCCUAUAUGCCCAUGUGCGUUGAUCAUACCACGGAGCGAUGCUUCCCAGGGCUGCGAGCUGUGGGUGCUCUGCCUGUCCCUGCUGAGACCUGGCUUCAUUCUCUUGCUUUCAGAAGCAGGGACCAGCCAGUGGGCCCUGUCCCAGCUGUAUGCUGCGAAGGGCACCAUGAAGCUGGGAACGUGGGAAGGCGCAAGCUGCUAACACUUCCCUUUACCACCUCCUGCUCCUCCAAAACUCCCUCCUGCCACCACUGCUGCCUCCCUCCCUGUCCUGAGCUCCCAUAGCAUCCUUGCAUCACAUUCCCCAUCCCCUGCCCUGGAGGGGACAGCUGCUCCCAUCUCCCCCAAGCACUUCUCCGUGUUCUUCUCCCUCUGUUCCCGCAGCUCCGCGCACACCGCGGCUCUGUUUGUGCCCGCAUUAGCAUUUCUGCUGACUGCAAGGAUCGGUUUAAUUUCAUGGGUGUCAUUUCCUUCAAGAAAUCUCUCUCUGAGCAGCAGCCCGACGAAUGCCUGAUAAAACAUAUUUUCCUACGGUAAUGAUUUUAUGGACCCAUAAGUCAUGAAUUUAUUAUGAUCUCAGCCCCUGCUGCUGAUUGCUGUAAAAUGCAAAGUAAUUAACAGCAAGCGGUAGCAGCUAUUCCCACCUGGUAGCGUGUUCUUGGGUACGCUGAUGGGUUUGAUUAAAGUAAUGGCUAAAGUGUACAGCCCGGCUGUAAAAUAUUAGCAUGAUUAAUGCAGUAUCCUAAAUAAGAAACAAAACGAAUGGGCAUGGUCUAAAGAAUUAAAAAAAUAUAGAUAUUCCUUUCCUUCCCUCAAGCUAUUGUUCUGGCUCAUUUAUGCUUUCUUUUCUGUUAAAUAAUGUAUGGGCUUCAGGGCCAGGGGGCACGCUAGAGAUGCAUAUUGCAGUUUCAUAACAUCUUAAGUGCUCGUGUUAAUUUUUCACUCC
rnacentral:lncRNA from 7 species